rnacentral:rRNA from 1 species
UACCCUUGACAUGUCCGGAAUCCUGCAGAGAUGCGGGAGUGCUCGAAAGAGAACCGGAACACAGGUGCUGCAUGGCUGUCGUCAGCUCGUGUCGUGAGAUGUUGGGUUAAGUCCCGCAACGAGCGCAACCCUUAUCAUUAGUUGCUACGCAAGGGCACUCUAAUGAGACUGCCGGUGACAAACCGGAGGAAGGUGGGGAUGACGUCAAGUCCUCAU